AUGCGCAAUUGGGCCUGACCCCUAUAGAGAGGAGCCUUUGAGCGCUGGGUACCGGCCUUACUGAGAAGAAGAGAUAGAAGCAAGAAGGACACCUCUUGUCUGUCUUGGAAAACAUAUACACUGUUUAUGAAGAAGACCUCUUCUAGGGGCUGAGGAACAACCACACCCAUCAUUGUGGGUGCAGAUGCCUGCCAACAGUCUCCAUUGGGCCUAGAAGACCCAAAGCGCCAGAACAAUCACUCAAUGAAGUACUUCAAUGUUAGAAGUGAACCUCCCCGAAACAGUGGGGUUCCUCGAGGAAUACCUGAUGUGUUCUGAUGAGCAACCACUGGAGCCACGAGGACAUCUUUAUCAGUGUUCUAUGGCUGUGCGAAGACACCAUGACCACUGCACCUCUUAUAAAGGAAAACAUUUCAUUGGGGCUGGCUUACAGGUUCAGAGGUUUAGUCCAUUGUCAUGGCAAGAAACAUGGCAACACGCAGGCGGAUAUGGCGCCACUGGAGGAUGAGGUGAGAAUUGCACAUCUGGAUCCACAGGCAGCAGAAAGAGAACUGGCUAGAGCUUUUGUGACCUCAAGCCCCACCCCCUAGUUUCACAAUUCCUUCAACGAAGCCACGGCCAUUCCAAAGCCCAACCUCCUAAUAGUGCCCCUUCCUCUGGGCUUAUAGGAGCCAAUUUCUUUCAAACCACCACAGUGGCAGACUGCCAGUCAGUCAUGGCAUGGUGGCAGCGCAGUGUUCCUCUGACCUGGAUGUCCUGGUGAUCACUCAUGAGUAUCGUUGACUGAACCUCUUUAUGAUAUCUGUAGAAAACCCUCCCUCUGAAUAUAAUGAUGGCCAUAUCAAACAAGCUCAUCUGGGACGUCCCCAAUUCAUCACCAUGACCAGAUAUCUCUGAAGAGCUGGAAGCAUAGCCUUUCCUUCGCUUCCUGGGCACCUUGUCACUUAAGCCACACUUCAGCCCUGGCACACUGCACUAGUUGUUGGCCUUUACUCUAACCCUGAGGGUCCACGCCCAUUUUUACGGACAAGUAGGAUGAUGUCAUCUCUCCCCGAAUCUUCUUGUAGCCUGUGCAGAAACCAAAGUCUUCUCUCCCAAGCAAGCUGAAAACCAAAGCUGUGUGGAGUGCAAAGGCAUGUGGGGAGGAAGCGGGUCUACUCCAGUGUCUUCUGGCACCCGGCUCAGUCAGCCAGAGUCUUUUAAAUUGGGUUUUUAUUUUAAGCCUGUAUCAAGGAAACCUUCUUCCUGGAGCUAUUUUGGAUGGAGGAUGUCCGUAAAGAACGAACAGAUACAACCUGUUUUUGAGGAACUCUCAUUUUGUGAGAAUGAUUAAAAUGUACGUAGACUCACA